GUACAAAUGAACAAAAUGUAGACAAAAACAUGCAAAACACAAUCCAGAACAGAUCUGAUUCUAAAAAGUCCCAAUUUGAAGUGUUGUAUAUCAGCAG